GUGAGGAAUAUUGGGCAAUGGAGGCAACUCUGACCCAGCCAUGCCGCGUGCAGGAUGACGGCCCUCUGGGUUGUAAACUGCUUUUAUACGGGAAGAAAAAAUACUACGUGUAGUAUACUGACGGUACCGUAAGAAUAAGGAUCGGCUAACUCCGUGCCAGCAGCCGCGGUAAUACGGAGGAUCCAAGCGUUGUCCGGAUUUAUUGGGUUUAAAGGGUGCGUAGGCGGAUCUUUAAGUCAGUGGUGAAAGCCUGCAGCUUAACUGUAGAAUUGCCAUUGAAACUGAAGAUCUUGAAUGUGGUUAAAGUAGGCGGAAUGUAUCAUGUAGCGGUGAAAUGCUUAGAUAUGAUACAGAACACCGAUAGCGAAGGCAGCUUGCUGAACCAUUAUUGACGCUGAGGCACGAAAGCGUGGGGAGCGAACAGGAUUAGAUACCCGGGUAGUCC
rnacentral:rRNA from 1 species